rnacentral:rRNA from 1 species
UAGCGGCAGACGGGUGAGUAAAGCGUGAGAAUCUGCCCUUUAGUAAGGAAUACUCCCGAGAAAUCGGGCUUAAUACUGUAUAAUUCCCUUCGGGGAUAAAGAUGGCCUCUUGCUAUCGCUAAAGGAUGAGCUUACGUGCUAUCAGCUAGUUGGUGGGGUAAUGGCCUACCAAGGCAAUGACGGCUAGCCGGCCUGAGAGGGUGUACGGCCACACUGGAACUUAGACACGGUCCAGACUCCUACGGGAGGCAGCAGUGGGGAAUAUUGCGCAAUGGGCGAAAGCCUGACGCAGCGACGUCGCGUGAAGGAUGAAGGUCUUCGGAUUGUAAACUUCUGUUAAGUGGGAAGAAAUCUCUGUUAAUAAUACGAAUAGAGGAUGACGGUACCAUUAGAGAAAGCACCGGCUAACUUCGUGCCAGCAGCCGCGGUAAGACGAGGGGUGCAAGCGUUAUUCGGAAUUAUUGGGCGUAAAGGGUGUGUAGACGGUAUGUUAAGUCUGUUGUUAAAUCUCCUGGCUUAACCAGGAAUAAGCGAUGGAUACUGAUGUGCUAGAGGGUGGAAGAGAGAAGUGGAAUUCUCGGAGUAGCGGUAAAAUGCGUAGAUCUCGAGAGGAACACCAAUGGCGAAGGCAGCUUCUUGGUCCAUUUCUGACGUUGAGACACGAAAGCGUGGGGAGCAAACAGGAUUAGAUACCCUGGUAGUCCAC